GUUGCUUAGUGUAGUCCAUCUCUACUCAGCGCCCAGGGUCUAGAUAACGGUCUGUUUUUUGCCCUUUUUAUAGAAUAGUGCCGUUCAUGAAACGGCCAAUUUGAUUUUUGUUGCGUUUUACAGAAAAAUGCCGUUGAUAAAGGGCCUGUGUUUUUUUCUUUUUAUAGAAUAGUGCCGUUGAUGAAACCGCCUGUGUUUUUUUUCUUCUUAUAGAAUAAUGUCGUUGAUGAAAGGACCGUUGAUGAAGGGACCAUUGAUUUCUCUAUCUAUAUAUAGAGGCAGCCUCAGAUCAUUUAUGCACAGUUCAAUAUCAGUUUGCCUUAGUCGAAACUGUGGGGUGCAGCUUGAAAUGAUUUUCUCUGUUUUGUAGGUCAGAUGUGGCGCUUCUGAAGUUUUGGGUCGGCAUGAGAUAGCUCUGGCCUUCCUGUCCGCUUCCCUAGAUUUUCUCGAAGGCCAUAUUGUGGUUUCAAUGGCGGCGAUUCUAGGGCACUCCAAUUGGGGUUUCCAUGGGCAACAUCAGAAUCGCCCUGGCAGCCAUUGGGAAGCUCAUGUUUGCCCAAUUCUAGGAGCUGGUGUGCCACUACUAUAAUGGUCUGCCUUGGAAUCGUUCUGUUGCGCUCAAUCCUUCACUCUAUUCUAUUCUGUGUAAUAUAGGUGACCCUGUAAUGCUUUGGGUGAACAAGGUUGGUCCUUACAACAAUUCACAAGAAACAUAUAAUUAUUCUGUUUCCCACUUGGGUUUUCCUGUUCUUGGAUCUGAAUACUGGUGUUUUGAGUCUUGAGUCUCAUUUGCUUUGAAUUGUUAUUGAAGGAUAGGAUCGUAAUCGUUUCUUCAAUUGUUAUAAUGGUAAGGAUUCUAUUAGUCUUCUGCAGAUUUGUCUGUUCUAUUUUCUCUCUAUUUGAAGUUUUAUUGUAGUCAGAUGGAUUUAAUUUAUGAUCAUGAUGAAUGGCCAAUUUAGUAAGUUAUUUGUUGUCAAUGGCUUUUGUCAAUAGUCUAGUGAUUUUGAUACACUCUUCAGGCGGAUUCCUUUCUUCUUGUUUCUGAAGAUAAUGCUAGCUAUUCUAGUGUCGAUGAUAAAGGUGUCUGUUACAAUGUUUGUGUUUCUCCUAGUGAAGAUGUUGACCCUGGUGGAUGUUUGUUGCAGAUGGUACUAAUCAGUGUGGUGCGCAUAUUUAUCUUGGGCUUUUUUUCUGAUGGUGACCUGGAUCUGGAUCUAGAUAUCUCCACUCUGCUGGUCGUUCCUUAUAAGAGUUAAGUCAUUGGAAAAAUAUGUUAAGUCCUACAAUUGACAAGUUAGAUAAGAAAUUUGGUGAUAGUUGAUCUUAGGUGUUUUUAUAUGGUAUGAAUUGUUGUUAUAUGUGCUGGUCUGCUCUCUCAGGUUUUCCCCUGUUUUAAUCAUUUUUGCUUAGCUCGUUUUAUGGUGCUAGGUCAUGCUACAUAGGUUCUAGAGGGUUGAUAUGGAUGGGUUAAUGUUUGUCGAUUUUCUUGAGUUUUGUCUCAGCUGUGUAUUGAUGUUCCUUAAAAUGUCUCAAUUCACCUUUGCAGUUUUGUUAAGGUUACAGUGCAUUGUCAUUUGGAGAAGCAUAUUUUAGUGAUUUUUAAAUUUUUGUACAAGAUGAAGCAAGGAAUUUGUUGUUAUCUCCCAUUCCGUUACACAUUACCCUGCCCCAGUCUGCAUUUAAUAAGGCUGGCUCGAUUUGCUUGUUUAUUUUGGUUGUCCUUGAUUGUGGAGGCCGAAAAAGGCAUGGAUUUUCCUACCAGGAGUAGUAAAGUUAGCCUUGGGUUUUGUAGGAUCCUGCCCAUUUUAUAGCGUUUGAUUUUCUUUAGGACAAUAAAUUAAUUAUUCUAUCACUUUCUACUUAUUUUUAUUUAUUUAUUUCCUGCGCUCUAAUCUGUUAUAAUUAGCCUCUUUGGGGGUGAAAAUCUUAUAGAAUAUUUUUAUUAUGUAUUUUACUAAUAUAUAUGUUCAUUCUAUACCUUAGACAGUGAUGCUUUCUGAUUUGUUAUCCUUUUUCAUUUAAUUUCAGAUAAUCUGUUAGGGCAAUAAUGAAUUACUAUGAAAUUGUUCAUGUUGGUGGCUGUUAGAUUUUAUGAGUUGUUUUCCAACUGCAUUUUGGAAAUAAAAUUGCUUUGUAUAUUGUAUUGAGCAGUGUAAUAUAGGUGACCCUUCAACACUUUGGGUGAACAAGGUUGGUUUUUACAACAAUCUACAAGAAAACAUAUAAUUAUUACUCUGUUGUGGGAUCUGAA